CCAAUAGCGUAUAUUAAAGUUGUUGCAGUUAAAAAGCUCGUAGUUGAAUUUUGGGACCAAUUUGUCGGUCGUGCCUCGGUACGUACUGGUAUUAUUGGUUUCUCCCUUCUGAAGAACCUUGAUGUCAUUAAUUUGGUGUCUUGGGGAAUCAGGACUGUUACUUUGAAAAAAUUAGAGUGUUUAAAGCAGGCUCGCGCUUGAAUACAUUAGCAUGGAAUAAUGAAAUAGGACGUUUGAUUCUAUUUUGUUGGUUUCUAGGAUUGACGUAAUGAUUAAUAGGGAUAGUUGGGGGCAUUAGUAUUCAAUUGUCAGAGGUGAAAUUCUUGGAUUUAUUGAAGACUAACUACUGCGAAAGCAUUUGCCAAGGAUGUUUUCAUUAAUCAAGAACGAAAGUUAGGGGAUCGAAGACGAUCAGAUACCGUCGUAGUCUUAACCAUAAACUAUGCCGACUAGGGAUCGGAUGAUGUUAAUUUUUUAAUGACUCAUUCGGCGCCUUACG
rnacentral:rRNA from 1 species